rnacentral:rRNA from 1 species
GCUCCGAGGAGAGGUUCAUGCCAUGCUUGACGGUCUAGACGCGAAGGAACGGUGGGUCCUUACUCAUCGAUUCGGCUUGGACGAUGGUCAGCCUAAGACACUAAGAGAAACAGCAGAAAGGCUGGGGUUA